rfam:Oryza nivara chromosome 2, whole genome shotgun sequence.
GGAUACUCCUUUACCCACACUAGUUCAACUAAAUGAACUAAAUUUCACUUUUAGAAUCACAAAAAAUGAAAUGUAGUUCGUUUAUUUGGACUAGAGUGGGUCAAUUAGUAUCU